AAACCAUGUAUCAGAAUACUAUAUACAACCACAUCUAGAAAAAUCCCUCUAUUUUUCAUUUCUAGGAAAAGCUCUGUUGCCUUAUCUAUCAUCCCAUCUUUACAAAGCCGAUCAAUUCAUGCGCGGCUUUUCCUCUCUUUGCUUCUGUCUCUAGCCCUGGACUUAGCCUAGCCUAGCUCCCAAAUAACGAGAUUUGAAUAUAAAAUCAAUUUGUUAAUAUUCAUAUCAGUCUGCUUACUCUGCUAUUCAGUAUGUUACAGGAAGCCAAGUUCAUCCAUUAGCAAUAAUAUAAUGGUCUAAUUUGUGGUUUAUGCUAUGUUUCUUAUAUUUGCAGUACUGAUAGCUAGAGUGUGGAACUUGCAUAUCGAAUUAGCAUGGGCAGAAUAUGGUCAUUGUAUAUAGAUUAAUGACUUGUGCGACUGUUGAAGAAAAGAUAUACAGAAAACAGUAGUGUUAGAUCGUUGGAUCUAGUGGACUUUUUCGAUUUCCAUGGCGGAUUCAAAUUCAGUUAAAGCCAGCCUUUGAUCUUUCUGCUUAUUCCUUCUCUAGCCUCCCACCCCACCAUCUCUAACCUUGGACAUUUUCAGCAAGAUAUUUCUAUGAAAGGCACCUCGUUUCUUCUUUGCUUCCUGUGAGGACUUCUAGCUAGCUUUUGCCCCGUCACCAGAAUCAGCAAAUUAAAGAGUGCUAAGUACUGGCAUUGCAAUUAUUUUUGACAUAUUUGAAAAACCACACAUAAAACUGUAGCUUAAAUUGGGAGGCAUGGGAGAUCAAGAUGAUGUUGAAAAACAUUCAAGCCAAGGUUUUGCUCAAGACUUUUCCUGCAUGAACAAUAGAGGACCACAAGCUGCCCAAGUCAUACCAGUCACAGUGAGUCCCCAAAACAUAGAUAGUACAACAGACGGGGAAGGUGGUGAGCUCAAUCCACAAGAUGCUUGGUUACCCCUCACAGAGUCCAGAAAAGGGACCAGCUAUUCUGCUACAUUUCAUCUUCUGUCUUCAGGAAUUGGAAUUCAAGCCCUUUUACUACCUGUUGCUUUUGCUACUCUUGGAUGUGGGAGAGAAGAAGUACAGCAGCAUAUUUCCAGGAGGAUAUCGAUGUGGUCAGAACUGAGGGGGCAAAGUUUGUGAUUAAAACAUAUAUGUAAGAUUUGUGUUGGUACUUCUUGGAGUCUUAGUUCAAAGUUUGUGGUUAUGUUUUGGUUGGACAGGAUCAGUAGCUAGUACUUUGAAUUGAUAUGUAAGAAAUACUUUAACAAUUGGGUACUCUAUUUCUAGUUUCGGUGUGUUUUGGCAAUGUAUGACAAUGAUGUGCUAUAGUAAAUGACAUUUGAACCAAUUUGUGUUUCA